rnacentral:rRNA from 1 species
UUAGUAAGUUGGGAAUCCAAUAAUGGUGGUCGUGCCUCGGUACGUACUAGCUUAUUGGUUUCUCCUUUCUGAAGAACCAUGAUGUCAUUCAUUUGGUGUCGUGGGGAAUCAGGACUGUUACUUUAGAAAAAUUAGAUUGUUUAAAGCAGGCUCACGCUUGAAUACAUUAGCAUGGAAUAAUAAAAUAGGUACGUUUGAUUCUAUUUUGUUGGUUUCUAGGAUCGACGUAAUGAUUAAUAGGGAUAGUUGGGGGCAUUAGUAUUCAAUUGUCAGAGGUGAAAUUCCUGGAUUUAUUGAAGACUAACUACUGCGAAAGCAUUUGCCAAGGAUGUUUUCAUUAAUCAAGAACGAAAGUUAGGGGAUCGAAGACGAUCAGAUACCGUCGUAGUCUUAACCAUAAACUAUGCCGACUAGGGAUCGGAUGAUGUUAAUUUUUAAUGACUC